GCGGCCAUGGCGGAAUUGGCAGACGCGCUAGAUUCAGGUUCUAGUCGGGGCAACUCGGUGGAUGUUCAAGUCAUCUUGGCCGCA
rnacentral:tRNA from 1 species